UACGUAGGCAGCAAGCGUUGUUCGGAGUUACUGGGCGUAAAGGGUGUGUAGGCGGUCGGAUAAGUGUGGUGUGAAAUCUCCCGGCUCAACUGGGAGGGUGCGCUACAAACUGUCUGGCUAGAGUGCGGGAUGGGAAAGUGGAAUUCCUGGUGUAGCGGUGAAAUGCGUAGAUAUCAGGAGGAACACCGGUGGCGAAGGCGGCAUCCUGGACCGGCAUUGACGCUGAGGCGCGAAAGCCAGGGGAGCAAACGGG
rnacentral:rRNA from 1 species